GGUUGUGGCUCAGUGGUAGAGUGCUUGUCUAGCAUGUGCAAGGCUCUGGGUUCAAUCCUCAGCACCA
rnacentral:tRNA from 1 species